UAGGGAAUCUUCCGCAAUGGACGCAAGUCUGAUGGAGCAACGCCGCGUGAGUGAAGAAGGUCUUCGGAUCGUAAAACUCUGUUGUUAGAGAAGAACACGAGUGAGAGUAACUGUUCAUUCGAUGACGGUAUCUAACCAGCAAGUCACGGCUAACUACGUGUCAG
rnacentral:rRNA from 1 species